rfam:Danio rerio chromosome 14, GRCz11 reference primary assembly.
GCCGGCAGCUAGCUCUCUGCAAGUCUCACAUGGUCGCCCACUGAAGCUAAGCAGGGCUGCGCCCGGUUAGUACCUGGAUGGGAGACCACAUGGUAAAGCUACAGUAGGUUGCUGCCGGAU